GUGUCAUUAGCUAGUUGGUGAGGUAACGGCUCACCAAGGCAACGAUGACUAGGGGAUCUGAGAGGAUGACCCCCCACACUGGUACUGAGACACGGACCAGACUCCUACGGGAGGCAGCAGUAAGGAAUAUUGGACAAUGGGGGCAACCCUGAUCCAGCCAUGCCGCGUGCAGGAAGACGGCCCUAUGGGUUGUAAACUGCUUUUGUCGGGGAAGAAACCCUUCUACGUGUAGGAGGUUGACGGUACUCGAAGAAUAAGGAUCGGCUAACUCCGUGCCAGCAGCCGCGGUAAUACGGAGGAUCCGAGCGUUAUCCGGAUUUAUUGGGUUUAAAGGGUGCGUAGGUGGCUUUGUAAGUCAGUGGUGAAAGUUUUCAGCUUAACUGGAAAAUUGCCAUUGAUACUGCAGGGCUUGAGUGCAGAUGAGGUAGGCGGAAUGUGUCAUGUAGCGGUGAAAUGCAUAGAUAUGACACAGAACACCGAUUGCGAAGGCAGCUUACUAAACUGUAACUGACACUGAGGCACGAAAGCGUGGGGAUCAAACAGGAUUAGAUACCCUGGUAGUCCACGCCCUAAACGAUGAUCACUCGAUGUGUGCGAUAUACAGUACGCGUCCAAGCGAAAGCGUUAAGUGAUCCACCUGGGGAGUACGCCGGCAACGGUGAAACUCAAAGGAAUUGACGGGGGCCCGCACAAGCGGAGGAGCAUGUGGUUUAAUUCGAUGAUACGCGAAGAACCUUACCCGGGCUUGAAAGUUA
rnacentral:rRNA from 1 species